rnacentral:misc_RNA from 1 species
AAUCUUCAAAACCCUUUUUUCCUUUGAACCAUUGCGGUCGGGAAAAGGAUUUUUGGACUUGGAGGCUCAAUGCCCGCCCUUUCUUUUUGAAAGCGCGAGCUCCUCUCAAAUGAAUUAGUGGGGUCCGCUUUGCUGAUCCUUGACGUGAUAAAAUGUUUCUACGUUUUGGGUUUAGCACUGUUCCUUGGAUGCCUGCUCCUAAUCGUCUCAUUGACAAUGAUGGUGCUCCGGUCACCGCCGUCUACAUCGGCGGGAGGCUGGACCCACAAAAAGAAAA